CCACUCCUCUUUCUCUUUCUUAAUCCAUCUUCUACUUUUCUCUCAACCCUAACCCCCAACAACUCUCUCCCUUCUCAGCCUCAAAAGUUCUCGAUCUACUCCGCGCUCGAAGAAUUUGCCGCAAUUAUAAGAAUUACAACAAGCUGUAAACAAAAUUCAAACAUUUUGAGUUAAUGAAUUUUUGUUCCAGAUCGAUCUAACAAAACAAAAUUCUUUGCCGAAAAUUCCAUCUCGAUUUUAAGGUAUUAUCUUAUAUAUAAUGGUAGAAGUAUCAUAAGCCUAAUAUCCGGAAAUACAUAAUAAUAUGAAGUAUCCUUGUCAUCAACUAUCGCUAAUACUUCAGCCUCACUCUGUUGCAAGUUCUGGUCUGUGCUUCUCUAUUGUUGUUGCUGUCCUGUUUGCUGAAGCGUGGUUCUGGUGCUUUGCUUCUUUUCUGGUUGCACUGCUGCUUUCUUUGCUAGGUUCUGCUGCUACUCUUUGCUGCUGCUGCUGCUGCGUCUUUGUUGUAGCUGCGGAUGGCUUGUUUGUAGUUUUGACUGUUGUUUUUUGCUUUGCGUUUUAGCUUGGGUUGCGGGUUUGUGCGCCCUUUGCUUCUUGUUUCGUUGGUUGAAUAUUGUGUGGUUUCUACCUUUUGGUAAUAAAUAUAUCUUAUUUACCAAAAAAAAAACUAUCGCUAAUACUUCAUUGGUUAUAAAACAUAUUACUACUAAGCAACUUUGCCCUCUUCUAGUUUGAUCCGAUAACCAUGUUUCCCUUAAAGGCUAAUAAUGUUGCAAUCCAUGUCCAUAUUUUUUUAGAAGAUGAUCAAAAUACUGGUUUCUAUGAGGUUGGAUCUCCUCAUAAAGGAUAUUAGGUAUUUGUCUCUGUGUGUCUGGUGCUGCCGGAAAGGUGAUUUUCUUACUACUUUGUGUUAGCCUGUUACUAGUCCAUAUUUCUGUCAAACUUCUUAAAUCAUUAGACCAUCAGUAAACAAACAUUACCGACCAUAAGAGUUGUUUGCAGUCUGUUUGAACUACUCAACCAUUUUAUGAAACAAUGUCUGGGAAGAGAUAGUCUAUUCCAUAUAAUAAAACACCAUUCCUGAGUUAUAUAAAUCUCACAAAGUUGCACUCUUUUUGUAAAUUUUGAGUAUCUAAUUUAUGUAGGACUUAUUAUCAUUAACUAUCUAGAUUGGUAUUGGUAAUUUAUCUAGGCCUUCAUAUUUAUAUUUGGCCUUUUAUCAUUAACUAUCUAAUUGAAUGUUAUAAUGGAAUCAAAAGGGGUUAAAGAAGAUUCCAGUAGUAGUAAUAGUAAAUUAUUGGGGGUGCCGUUUCAUAAGUGUGUGUGUGUUAUCUUAAUACCAUUACUUCACCCCUCUGGUCAAGCAUUUGAUAUUUCUAUAUAAAACUUGAAUCUUUUUGAAUUCCUAGAAAGAAUGACUGAUUUGCUAAAAAGUGCUUGUAUUAGGUGUUUACAAGAGCAUAUUCAAUUAGGUGAUUAAAGAGGGCGGGUAUGCCAAACUACAACUGAUAAGUUCACUUUUCAACCUUUUCGAAUUGCUUUCUGUCAAGAACUUAGUUAGGUGUUAUUGUACCUUUAUGUUUCUCGAAUGAAGGUGCCUCUACCCCAAGGGGACUUCAAACUAUUGGCCUUAAUUGCUUGUCUAGGGCCUGGUACCGUCUUUGAGCAGUCGCGUUGCUUGUAAGAGGUAGUCAAUAGCUUGGUUUACUUAAUUUGUUAUGAAAUUAUAGCCUGUAAAUUUUUAGUCUUUCUAAUUUCCCGUUUUCUAUAUCUUUUCCCUUCUUUACCUCUGUUCUUCGCAGACUUGAGAGAGCCUCGCAUCCUGUUAUGACUCAAGCUGCACAAAAGCAACUCAUUUGUUAUUUUAGAUGCUAUUAGUAUAAGCUUUAGUGAUUUAUCACCUACAAAUUACUUUUAUUUAGGUUUGUUGCACCUUCUUCAGUCUUGGUUGAGUAUUAGCAACUUCAGUCCUGUUGAGUUUUACAUGUUUUCUUUCAUUUUUCUCUUCUUUGAGUACCAUGUGUUGUUUGACCUCUUUGAGAAUUCUCAUGCCAUUCAAUCAUGUGUGAUUUAGGUUCUAAAAUUUACAUACUUAUUACAGAAUUUGAGUUGAUAUUGUAUUUCAUUUUGCAAUUUUCAGGUGUUCUCUUAAGCCCAAUUAAAUCUGACAAAAAGUUAGUUUUCCGGAGUUUCUAAUUCACAAAAAGUGCAGCAUGAGGUUUCCUGGCUUCAAAUUAUUCAUGUACUUCCGCUCUUGUGUGAACUUUUGGAUGAGUAUGGAAGGAAACCGCUUCUCUGUUUGACCAUGUCUACUUCCAUUUUCCUAUUGAUCGUCCAACGUGAUAAGGAGCAAGAUGAGAAUGAAGGAAAAGACCCACUUGAGUUUCAUAUAAGCUACUACUACCACUAUUAUAGAUCCUAGUUUUUCUAGGUUUUAGUUAUUCUGUUUAGUAGAUACAAUUUGUAUUUUUGAUGAUCUUUUGGAAUAUUUAGUUAGUAACAUUUAUAUACGAUGGAAUUUGGUUAGUAACAUUAUCAUGUACUAUGGAUUUUGGUUAAUUAAUGUAA